AUGCAUGCUUGCUAUGACCUUGAGGUAGAUGCUUGUUCACUUAUCACAUAUAUUUGCAUCUUGACCUCCCAUUUGCAUGCUUGUUCCCAUGAUGUACUUGAUUGUGCUCAAUUUAUAUGCUCAAAUGCCAUGACACACUUCUUUGUCAAACCAUAUGCUAUGCUUGAUGACAACACUUGUUGGUUGAAUCACCUCUUGAAUGCUUGGUUUUGCUCAUACGACAACCACACUUGUUUUUCCAAGUGCUUGUUAUAUUUGCUCCUUUUGAAGGAAUUACAAGACGGUGCGACAUUGGAGAGUGCCCAUUUGGAACUACAAGAUGAUGGAUGCUUGGGGAUCGUCCACUACUACACGAUGCCAUCAUCUCUUUCCCAUGGUGAUUUGGAUUUCGAUCCGAGGUUGGAUCUUUCCCAAGGGGGAGGGGAUGAUGCAGAGAAUCCUAUGGACAUCACCAUGUCAAGAGUCCAUUUGGCAAGUGACACGUGCCACAUCUACUUCAUGCAUACAAAGGUGAAUCAUCUCCUUUACACAUGUCCACUUGUACCCUUCGAGGAUGGUAUACUACUUGACCCCUCUCUCGUGUGCGUACUUAGGUGUGAGCGGAGCUACACAUUCAUCACGGAGGAGUCCAAGCGCAAGAGAACAACUACACCAUCCAAGACGGAAGCCUGGAAGCGGAGAAGGAAGUGCCAAGAAGAAGGCAGCAGCUCCCAGGCGACCCCAUGCGCCCGGGCCCUUCCGACCCCGUGCCCACGGGCCUCCUAG
rnacentral:rRNA from 1 species